rnacentral:lncRNA from 1 species
CUCUUUAAAACCAUUGGAUUCGUCCAUGAUGCGCAAACCCUCCAGCACACCAGCUGAAUGAAAUCAAGCGCACCUAAUCUCAAUUGGGAAAUUGGACCAAUGGAAAUUAUGUUCAGUGGCUUGCAGAUGUACCUAAUUAACCAGCCAGAUUAGAAGGGUCUAGGAUUCCUUUGUAAGGCACAGCAAAAAAGACAAUCAGAUACAAUAAGAGGAAUCUCCUGGUAAUGCUUCUGGCUACCAUUAGUUCAGAAUUCUGGCUGUGAUUUUUUAAAUGACUUUGAGCUAAGUUGUAUGGCUCUAGUUUGUUUCCCAUGUUUUACAGGUAGCUGUAUUUUUAACUGACUAGGAUGUUUUUAUUUAGAAUUUAUUGGAUUUGUUGCCUGCUAAUUGGAGGGAUAACCUGUUAUCCUCCAUCUAAAGGUAAUUAUAGAUAUAUUCCCCAAAAUAAAUUAAAAGGAACCAGCCACAAUGCAGCGGAAGCAACCGGCUCCCGUGCCUCAGAAGCAGCCACCACAAUACCUCAGCAAGCGCCAUGACUGGCCCAAAUACCUUGGGUGAAGCAACUGGCCACAGUGCCGCGGAAGCGACCACCCAUAACGCCUCGGCAGCGGAAGCAGCCACCCAUAAUGCCUCGGCAAGUGUGGCAACUGGCCCAAAUAGCUUUGAAGCAACUGGCCGCAAUGCUUCAUCAAGCGUCACGACUGGCCCAAAUAACUUGGGUGAAGCAAAACGCUCCCGUGCCUCAGCAGAAGGAGCCACCCAAAAUGCCUCAGCAAGUGUGGCAACUGGCUCAAAAACCUUAGGUGGAGCAACCAGAACCCGUGCCUCCGCAGCAGAAGCAGCCACCCACAAUGCCUCAGCAAACAUCACGACUGGCCCAAAUACCAUAGCUGAUGCAACUAGCCACAAUGCUUCAUCAAGCGCCAUGACUGGCCCAAAUACAUUGGGUGAAGCAACCAGCUUCCGUGACUCUGCAGAAGCAGCCACCCACAAUGCCUCAGCAAGUGUGGUAACUGGCCCAAAUACCUUAGUUGAAGCAACUGGCCACAAUGCUUCAUCAAGCGCCACGACUGGCCCAAAUACCUUAAGUGAAGCUACCAGCCACAGUGCCUCGGCAGUGGAAGCUACCAGCCACAGAGCCGUGCAAGAGGCCACCCAUAAUACCUCGGAAGCAGCCACCCACAAUGCCUCAGCAAGUGUGGCAACUGGCACAAAUACCUUAGGGGAAGCAACUGGCUCCCAUGCCUCGGCAGAAGCGACAGGCGCCUCGGCAGAAGCGACAGGCGCCUCGGCAGAAGCGACAGGCGCCUCGGCAGAAGCGACAGGCGCCUCGGCAGAAGCGACAGGCGCCUCGGCAGAAGCGACAGGCCUUGAACAGGAGGGCCAACUCCUCAAGCAACAUGGAUUUUAGCAGCAGUGAUGUUUCUCAGGAUUUUGGGUCUGAUGGGGGAUAUGAAAGCACCCAAUAAAAUAUUGUACCUUUUAAGUGCCUCCUUGUGUUUUGAAAUACUGUGUUUUUAAUGUCUACCUUUGGCUUGCUGGUUGAGAACAGUGUUGGUUGCCAGUGCAAUUUGUAGUAAAAGGGAAUGUGGUUUACAGUUCCUAAUCUUUUGGAUUUCAAAUAUAUAAUUUAUUUUUCUUUGCUGCUGGUUGACAAAUCCUAAGAUUGGCUCUACGUUAAAGCCACUGACCACGUUUACAUGUACAUCAAUAUCCCGUUAUUCGGGAUACUGAAGUAUUUAUUUUGUGUUGACAUGUAAACAUCAAAUCCUGUUUUACAAAAACCUGAGAAAGCUUGUACCCCGGAGAUGGGCUUCUGUGGCAUGUAAACAUCUGAAUUCUGUUUUUGUGGUAUGCACAGGCUCUGUUUCACAUCUCAUGGUUGUCUGACUCUGUCAAACAAAUACAUUUAAAGUGGGCUACCUGCUCAGUUUGAUC